rnacentral:rRNA from 1 species
UUAAGUGACUAAGCGUACACGGUGGAUGCCUUGGCAGUCAGAGGCGAUGAAAGACGUAGUAACUUGCGAUAAGCCCAGAUUAGGUAGUAACAACCAUUUGAGUCUGGGAUUUCUGAAUGGGGAAACCCACGUGCAUAAGCACGUAUCCUUACCUGAAUACAUAGGGUAAGGAGGCGAACCGGGGGAACUGAAACAUCUAAGUACCCCGAGGAAAAGAAAUCAACCGAGAUUCCGAAAGUAGCGGCGAGCGAAAUUGGACUAGCCCUUAAGCUUUACACGCGUUAGACGAACGGUCUGGAAAGUCCGACGAUACAGGGUGAUAGUCCCGUAGUUGACGACGUGUGUUCAGUGAAAUCGAGUAGGGCGGGACACGUGAUAUCCUGUCUGAAUAUGGGGGGACCAUCCUCCAAGGCUAAAUACUACUGACUGACCGAUAGUGAACCAGUACCGUGAGGGAAAGGCGAAAAGAACCCCUGUGAGGGGAGUGAAAUAGAACCUGAAACCGUGUACGUACAAGCAGUAGGAGCAGGCUUUGUCCUGUGACUGCGUACCUUUUGUAUAAUGGGUCAGCGACUUAUAUUCAGUGGCAAGGUUAACCAUCUAGGGGAGCCGUAGGGAAACCGAGUCUUAACUGGGCGUUCAGUCUCUGGAUAUAGACCCGAAACCAGGUGAUCUAGCCAUGGGCAGGUUGAAGGUUGAGUAACAUCAACUGGAGGACCGAACCGACUAAUGUUGAAAAAUUAGCGGAUGACUUGUGGCUAGGGGUGAAAGGCCAAUCAAACCUGGAGAUAGCUGGUUCUCCCCGAAAGCUAUUUAGGUAGCGCCUCGGACGAAUACUACUGGGGGUAGAGCACUGUUAAGGCUAGGGGGUCAUCCCGACUUACCAACCCUUUGCAAACUCCGAAUACCAGUAAGUACUAUCCGGGAGACACACGGCGGGUGCUAACGUCCGUCGUGGAGAGGGAAACAACCCAGACCGCCAGCUAAGGUCCCAAAUUACUACUAAGUGGGAAACGAUGUGGGAAGGCUCAGACAGCCAGGAUGUUGGCUUAGAAGCAGCCAUCAUUUAAAGAAAGCGUAAUAGCUCACUGGUCGAGUCGGCCUGCGCGGAAGAUGUAACGGGGCUAAGUAGUAAACCGAAGCUGCGGCAAUGUGCUUUUGCACAUUGGGUAGGGGAGCGUUCUGUAAGCGGUUGAAGGUGUGUGGUAACGCAUGCUGGACGUAUCAGAAGUGCGAAUGCUGACAUGAGUAACGAUAAAGGGGGUGAAAAACCUCCUCGCCGGAAGACCAAGGGUUCCUGUCCAACGUUAAUCGGGGCAGGGUAAGUCGACCCCUAAGGCGAGGCCGAAAGGCGUAGUCGAUGGGAAACGGGUUAAUAUUCCCGUACUUCUUACAAUUGCGAUGGGGGGACGGAGAAGGCUAGGUGGGCCUGGCGACGGUUGUCCAGGUUCAAGUGCGUAGGCUUAAGAGUUAGGUAAAUCCGGCUCUUUUUAAGGCUGAGACACGACGUCGAGCACCUACGGGUGUGAAGUCAUUGAUGCCAUGCUUCCAGGAAAAGCCUCUAAGCUUCAGAUUGUAAGGAAUCGUACCCCAAACCGACACAGGUGGUCGGGUAGAGAAUACCAAGGCGCUUGAGAGAACUCGGGUGAAGGAACUAGGCAAAAUGGUACCGUAACUUCGGGAGAAGGUACGCUCUUGAUGGUGAAGUCCCUCGCGGAUGGAGCUGACGAGAGUCGCAGAUACCAGGUGGCUGCAACUGUUUAUUAAAAACACAGCACUGUGCAAAAUCGUAAGAUGACGUAUACGGUGUGACGCCUGCCCGGUGCCGGAAGGUUAAUUGAUGGGGUUAGACUUCGGUCGAAGCUCUUGAUCGAAGCCCCGGUAAACGGCGGCCGUAACUAUAACGGUCCUAAGGUAGCGAAAUUCCUUGUCGGGUAAGUUCCGACCUGCACGAAUGGCGUAAUGAUGGCCACGCUGUCUCCACCCGAGACUCAGUGAAAUUGAAAUCGCUGUGAAGAUGCAGUGUACCCGCGGCUAGACGGAAAGACCCCGUGAACCUUUACUACAGCUUGGCACUGAACAUUGACCCUACAUGUGUAGGAUAGGUGGGAGGCUUUGAAGCACGUACGCCAGUAUGUGUGGAGCCGUCCUUGAAAUACCACCCUUGUAGUGUUGAUGUUCUAACGUCGACCCCUUAUCGGGGUUGCGGACAGUGCCUGGUGGGUAGUUUGACUGGGGCGGUCUCCUCCCAAAGAGUAACGGAGGAGCACGAAGGUGGGCUAAUCACGGUUGGACAUCGUGAGGUUAGUGCAAUGGCAUAAGCCCGCUUGACUGCGAGAAUGACAAUUCGAGCAGGUGCGAAAGCAGGUCAUAGUGAUCCGGUGGUUCUGAAUGGAAGGGCCAUCGCUCAACGGAUAAAAGGUACUCCGGGGAUAACAGGCUGAUACCGCCCAAGAGUUCAUAUCGACGGCGGUGUUUGGCACCUCGAUGUCGGCUCAUCACAUCCUGGGGCUGAAGUCGGUCCCAAGGGUAUGGCUGUUCGCCAUUUAAAGUGGUACGCGAGCUGGGUUUAGAACGUCGUGAGACAGUUCGGUCCCUAUCUGCCGUGGGCGUUGGAAGAUUGAAGGGGGCUGCUCCUAGUACGAGAGGACCGGAGUGGACGAACCUCUGGUGUUCGGGUUGUGUCGCCAGACGCAUUGCCCGGUAGCUAAGUUCGGAAUCGAUAACCGCUGAAAGCAUCUAAGCGGGAAGCGAGCCCUGAGAUGAGUCUUCCCUGAUACUUUAAGUAUCCUAAAGGGUUGUCGGAGACUACGACGUUGAUAGGUCAGGUGUGUAAGUGCUGUGAGGCAUUGAGCUAACUGAUACUAAUUGCCCGUGAGGCUUAACCA